AGAGAGAGAGGAGGAAGCAAGCUCCCUGCCAAACAGAGAGACCGAUGUGGGUCUCGAUCCCAGGACCCUAGGAUCAUGACCUGAGCCGAAGGCAGAGGCUUUAACCCACUGAGCCACUCAGCUGGUGGAUGUUUGCUUUGAGAACCUGCAGCCUCCAGAAGAACUCAAAGCUGAAUAUUGGUGGAGACCAUUCACAAGCUAAAAACAGGAACUCCAAGUUCACAUUGGUUUUCUCCAGUUUGUAAUGUCAGAAUGAUGACUUGUUUGGGGAAUCAUUGACACCAGUGCUCUGCUCUCCAAUUCUAGGCAGCAUGGGGACACACACAAGAAAACAAGACUCUAAUGAGUUAGAAUUUCAGUGAAGGAGAGAAUCCCUACAAAGAGAAGGCGUCUGAUGACUUCCUGACAUGGAUGCUACGAAAAUCCAAUGGAGAAUUUUAUUCAGGAACAAGUCUUUUAACAACGCAGAAAAAUGUUGUUCAACAUCCCCACCUACUGGUAACUCUACAGAAUAAUGUAUUACAAUUACUGAAAGAACUGAAAAUCGCUAGUUUUCCAAGAAAUACAUUACUACUACUAAUGACAAUGAUUAACGUGCACUGAGCACUUAUUUGGUUUGGAGAACUUUUCAGAGCUUUAUGAAAUGAUAAAUCACAGAAUAAUAAAAUAGUUUUUGGAUCGAGUCAGUCUAUCCUAAGGAAGAAAUAAUUUUCAGCAUUAUCACCGGGCAAGAGAACAAAUCAUUGCCCCAGUCCAAAGCAGGAUCUUGGGUCCACGCUGUCUUAAGUGCAGAAGGCUGCCAUGGCCUCCUAAACUGCCCCUCUGCCCUGGGUUUCCCCUCAGGCCUGUCCACUCUGCACUUUGACACAAAUUUUCUCAUGGUGAUCAAACACAAAGAAAGGAUUUAUGUUUUGAAUAAGCUCCCCCCACCAAAAAAAAAAAAAAAAAAAAAUCUGAAAAAAAAUGAGCAGAGACAAUAGUCUUAAAAUGAAGUCUUUCAAUGGAUGGGAUUGGACCUGUGAGAGAAAAGGAUGCAAUGAUGAAGCCCAGAGACAACAGGGCAGGAAGUAUUUGACUUGUAAAUUUGAUUUGACAAAAUGUGUGAUGAUGUCAAAGCAGAUUCCCUACCCUGAUUAGAUAAAGUUCUCGUAGGCUAGGCUGAGGGAAGCCGAAGAUGGGGCAAGUUUGUGAUCUAGACAAUGAGAUCCUAAACCUGAGCUUGAAGCUGGUAUUACAAGUAUUUAGGGAAGGAAGGAGUGUGGUUUUUUGUUGUUGUUGUUGGUUUUUUUAAUAAGUGGAGGAUUGAUUCUUCUCCUACCCACUUAAGCCCCCAUGUUGCAUCAUAAAUGAAACAAGAUGGGAUUGGGAGGGAGACAAACCAUAAAUGACUCUUAAUCUCACAAAACAAACUGAGGGUUGCUGGGGGGAGGGGGUUUGGGAGAAGGGGGUGGGAUUAUGGACAUUGGGGAGGGUAUGUGCUUUGGUGAGUGCUGUGAAGUGUGUAAACCUGGUGAUUCACAGACCUGUACCCCUGGGGAUAAAAAUAUAUGUUUAUAAAAAAUAAAAAAUUAAAAAAAAAUAAGUGGAGGAUUGUAAGUUAUUUGUGGUCAGAGAAUAGACUAUAGAGAUUGUCAUAAAUCCUUUGACACU